UAUGAACGCUAGCGGCAGGCUUAACACAUGCAAGUCGAGGGGCAGCACGUCUUCGGAUGGUGGCGACCGGCGCACGGGUGCGUAACGCGUAUACAACCUACCUUAUAGAGGGGAAUAGCCCAGAGAAAUUUGGAUUAAUGCCCCAUAGUAUUAUUGAAUAGCAUUAUUUGAUGAUUAAACAUUUAUGGCUAUAAGAUGGGUAUGCGUUCUAUUAGCUAGAUGGUAAGGUAACGGCUUACCAUGGCAACGAUAGAUAGGGGUCCUGAGAGGGAGAUCCCCCACACUGGUACUGAGACACGGACCAGACUCCUACGGGAGGCAGCAGUGAGGAAUAUUGGACAAUGGGCGAGAGCCUGAUCCAGCCAUGCCGCGUGCAGGAAGACGGCCCUAUGGGUUGUAAACUGCUUUUAUACGGGAAGAAACACUCCUUCGUGAAGGAGCUUGACGGUACCGUAAGAAUAAGGAUCGGCUAACUCCGUGCCAGCAGCCGAC
rnacentral:rRNA from 1 species